rnacentral:rRNA from 1 species
AUCAGGUAGGGAUACCCGCUGAACUUAAGCAUAUCAAUAAGCGGAGGAAAAGAAACCAACAGGGAUUGCCCUAGUAACGGCGAGUGAAGCGGCAACAGCUCAAAUUUGAAAUCUGGCGCAAGCCCGAGUUGUAAUUUGUAGAGGAUGCUUCUGGGCAGCGGCCGGUCUAAGUUCCUUGGAACAGGACGUCAUAGAGGGUGAGAAUCCCGUAUGUGACUGGCGCGCACCCUCCACGUAGCUCCUUCGACGAGUCGAGUUGUUUGGGAAUGCAGCUCUAAAUGGGAGGUAAAUUUCUUCUAAAGCUAAAUACCGGCCAGAGACCGAUAGCGCACAAGUAGAGUGAUCGAAAGAUGAAAAGCACUUUGGAAAGAGAGUUAAAAAGCACGUGAAAUUGUUGAAAGGGAAGCGCCUACAACCAGACUUCGCGGCAGUGUUCCGCCGGUCUCCUGACCGGUCCACUCUCUGUCGCGAGGCCAUCAUCGUCUGGGCCCGUCGGAUAAGACCCUGGGAAUGUAGCUCACCUUCGGGGGAGUGUUAUAGCCCAUGGUGAUGCGACGCGGCUCGGGCGAGGUCCGCGCUUCGGCAAGGAUGAUGGCGUAAUGGUUGUCGGCGGCCCGUCUUGAAACACGGACCAAGGAGUCUAACAUCUAUGCGAGUGUUCGGGUGUCAAACCCCUACGCGUAAUGAAAGUGAACGGAGGUGGGAACCGCAAGGUGCACCAUCGACCGAUCCUGAUGUCCUCGGAUGGAUUUGAGUAAGAGCAUAGCUGUUGGGACCCGAAAGAUGGUGAACUAUGCCUGAAUAGGGUGAAGCCAGAGGAAACUCUGGUGGAGGCUCGCAGCGGUUCUGACGUGCAAAUCGAUCGUCAAAUUUGGGUAUAGGGGCGAAAGACUAAUCGAACCAUCUAG